rnacentral:rRNA from 1 species
AACGAACGCUGGCGGCAGGCCUAACACAUGCAAGUCGAACGCCGUAGCAAUACGGAGUGGCAGACGGGUGAGUAACGCGUGGGAACAUACCCCUCGGUUCGGAAUAACUCAGGGAAACUUGAGCUAAUACCGGAUACGUCCGAGGUUUUAAUCGGCCUUGGAGAAAGAUUUAUCGCCGGAGGAUUGGCCCGCGUCUGAUUAGCUUGUUGGUGAGGUAAUGGCUCACCAAGGCGACGACAGUAGCUGGUCUGAGAGGAUGAUCAGCCACAUUGGGACUGAGACACGGCCCGAAACUCCUACGGGAGGCAGCAGUGGGGAAUAUUGGAC